GCACUCUUAGCUUAGAAGGAUAGAGCAAUCGGCUCCGAACUGAUAGAUAUGGGUUCAAUUCCCAUAGAGUGCA
rnacentral:tRNA from 1 species